UACGGGGGGGGCAAGCGUUGUUCGGAAUUACUGGGCGUAAAGGGCUCGUAGGUGGCCAACUAAGUCAGACGUGAAAUCCCUCGGCUUAACCGGGGAACUGCGUCUGAUACUGGAUGGCUUGAGUUCGGGAGAGGGAUGCGGAAUUCCAGGUGUAGCGGUGAAAUGCGUAGAUAUCUGGAGGAACACCGGUGGCGAAGGCGGCAUCCUGGACCAACACUGACGCUGAGUGAGCGAAAGCCAGGGGAGCAAACGGGG
rnacentral:rRNA from 1 species